CUGGAAAACAACGAUGGAUCCUGAAGGCGAAGGAAGAGAGGAAAAAAAAAAUCGUUCGAACUACGCCGCGUCGUGGAUCGUUCAACGACGUAGCCGGAGCUAAGGUAGCCGGUACCUGCGGAUUCGCGUAAAGUAUUACGAAGCGUAAAGAAGCGAACGAUGCGUAAAAGCGAAAAGUACCCUACCCGCACACGUUAUACCGACUCUUUUCGAAAUCAUUGCGCUGGAAAGAAGUCGUGAGUAAUGGGGCACUCAGGAAACUGUACGAGAAUAAGAAGAAAAAAAAAAAAAAAACAACGAAAAGUAACGUCGGUGUAACGCAGAGUCGAUUUCUGCGGGGUUAAUUGGAGACGUCGUCGUCCGUAAGACUUCGAAGCUUGUGUUACCGGGAUAUAUACUCAGAUAUCACGCGUGUCAGCUUCAGAAAGCGACGUUUCGUGAAUCGGGAAACGUCAACGCGAUAAACCAGUCAUACUUUACGUUACGUGAUGUGAGGAAUCAAUCGUUCCGUCGUAGUUGGACAAACAUACAUGUGCGUAUUUUAACGCACAUCUCACCUCUCCACGCAUAUCACGUGCAUGAGCUUCUCUGAAUCGUAUCAGCAUCAAACAGCAGCAGCAGCUUGUAAUUACGUGUCGCAAACUGGCCUGGGAUAACUAACUAAUAUUCAUACUCGUCAGACGUUGAAGGUGCCUAGCUCUUCGCAAUACUGUUCAACUUUCAACUACCAUUCCUACGUUGUGCUGAGAAAUUCGUAUAAGGCUUUUAAUCAAUCAUCACGGUGCCUAGUGCAUCGCAGUACUCAUUCAACUCCCAACCACGAAGGGCAGUAGUCACAUGGCAUCGCACAAUUCGUUUUCAGGUACUCGGAGAUGCUGUCACCGCAGUUAUGACCCCCUGGACUUCCCCUGUUCAUC